rnacentral:rRNA from 1 species
CAGGCUUAACACAUGCAAGUCGAGGGGCAUCAGGAAGAAAGCUUGCUUUCUUUGCUGGCGACCGGCGCACGGGUGAGUAACACGUAUCCAACCUGCCCUUUACUCGGGGAUAGCCUUUCGAAAGAAAGAUUAAUACCCGAUAGUAUAAUGAUUCCGCAUGGUUUCAUUAUUAAAGGAUUCCGGUAAAGGAUGGGGAUGCGUUCCAUUAGGUUGUUGGUGAGGUAACGGCCCACCAAGCCUUCGAUGGAUAGGGGUUCUGAGAGGAAGGUCCCCCACAUUGGAACUGAGACACGGUCCAAACUCCUACGGGAGGCAGCAGUGAGGAAUAUUGGUCAAUGGGCGCUAGCCUGAACCAGCCAAGUAGCGUGAAGGAUGAAGGCUCUAUGGGUCGUAAACUUCUUUUAUAUAAGAAUAAAGUGCAGUAUGUAUACUGUUUUGUAUGUAUUAUAUGAAUAAGGAUCGGCUAACUCCGUGCCAGCAGCCGCGGUAAUACGGAGGAUCCGAGCGUUAUCCGGAUUUAUUGGGUUUAAAGGGAGCGUAGGUGGACUGGUAAGUCAGUUGUGAAAGUUUGCGGCUCAACCGUAAAAUUGCAGUUGAUACUGUCAGUCUUGAGUACAGUAGAGGUGGGCGGAAUUCGUGGUGUAGCGGUGAAAUGCUUAGAUAUCACGAAGAACUCCGAUUGCGAAGGCAGCUCACUGGACUGCAACUGACACUGAUGCUCGAAAGUGUGGGUAUCAAACAGGAUUAGACACCCUGGUAGUCCACACAGUAAACGAUGAAUACUCGCUGUUUGCGAUAUACAGUAAGCGGCCAAGCGAAAGCAUUAAGUAUUCCACCUGGGGAGUACGCCGGCAACGGUGAAACUCAAAGGAAUUGACGGGGGCCCGCACAAGCGGAGGAACAUGUGGUUUAAUUCGAUGAUACGCGAGGAACCUUACCCGGGCUUAAAUUGCAGUGGAAUGAUGUGGAAACAUGUCAGUGAGCAAUCACCGCUGUGAAGGUGCUGCAUGGUUGUCGUCAGCUCGUGCCGUGAGGUGUCGGCUUAAGUGCCAUAACGAGCGCAACCCUUAUCUUUAGUUACUAACAGGUUAUGCUGAGGACUCUAGAGAGACUGCCGUCGUAAGAUGUGAGGAAGGUGGGGAUGACGUCAAAUCAGCACGGCCCUUACGUCCGGGGCUACACACGUGUUACAAUGGGGGGUACAGAAGGCAGCUAGCGGGUGACCGUAUGCUAAUCCCAAAAGCCUCUCUCAGUUCGGAUCGAAGUCUGCAACCCGACUUCGUGAAGCUGGAUUCGCUAGUAAUCGCGCAUCAGCCACGGCGCGGUGAAUACGUUCCCGGGCCUUGUACACACCGCCCGUCAAGCCAUGGGAGCCGGGGGUACCUGAAGUACGUAACCGCAAGGAUCGUCCUAGGGUAAAACUGGUGACUGGGGCUAA